UCGCCUGUUUUUCAAAAACAUGGCUCUUAGAGUGAUGAAGUAAUAGGAGUCGGGCCUGCCCGGUGCCGAGAGGUAAACGGCCGCAGUUCGUAGCUGUGCUAAGGUAGCGUAAUAAUUUGUCCUUUAAUUGGGGAAGGGUAUGAAUGGUUUGACGUGGGAAAAGCUGUCUCCUUGACAGAAAGCGAAAUUUUCUUUUUGGUGAAAAGGCUAAGAUAUUUGUAGUAGACGAGAAGACCCUAUCGAGCUUGAGUUAUUGUAUGGUUUAAAGAAUUGUAUGGCAAAUUUUACUGGGGCAGUAGGGAGGUAUGAGUAAUUCUCCUUUAUUGGAAAGAUCCUUGUUGACUGAUAUAUUUGUGUGUGUAUGUUGGGUUAUUUGAUAAGAUAAGAAGAAAAAGCUACCGUAGGGAUAACAGCGUUAUCUUUCUUUGGAGGACUAAUCGAAGGAAGGGGUUGCGACCUCGAUGUUGGAUUUGAGUUACUUUCUAGGU
rnacentral:rRNA from 1 species